GUGCAGGGCGGGCGUGCUAUACAUGCAAGUCGAGCGGACCGACGGGAGCUUGCUCCCUUAGGUCAGCGGCGGACGGGUGAGUAACACGUGGGUAACCUGCCUGUAAGACUGGGAUAACUCCGGGAAACCGGGGCUAAUACCGGAUGCUUGAUUGAACCGCAUGGUUCAAUUAUAAAAGGUGGCUUUUAGCUACCACUUACAGAUGGACCCGCGGCGCAUUACCUAGUUGGUGAGGUAACGGCUCACCAAGGCAACGAUGCGUAGCCAACCUGAGAGGGUGAUCGGCCACACUGGGACUGAAACACGGCCCAAACUCCUACGGGAGGCAGCAGUAGGGAAUCUUCCGCAAUGGACGAAAGUCUGACGGAGCAACGCCGCGUGAGUGAUGAAGGUUUUCGGAUCGUAAAACUCUGUUGUUAGGGAAAAACAAGUACCGUUCGAAUAGGGCGGUACCUUGACGGUACCUAACCAAAAAGCCACGGCUAACUACGUGCCAGCAGCCGCGGUAAUACGUAGGUGGCAAGCGUUGUCCGGAAUUAUUGGGCGUAAAGCGCGCGCAGGCGGUUUCUUAAGUCUGAUGUGAAAGCCCCCGGCUCAACCGGGGAGGGUCAUUGGAAACUGGGGAACUUGAGUGCAGAAAAGGAGAGUGGAAUUCCACGUGUAGCGGUGAAAUGCGUAGAGAUGUGGAGGAACACCAGUGGCGAAGGCGACUCUCUGGUCUGUAACUGACGCUGAGGCGCGAAAGCGUGGGGAGCGAACAGGAUUAGAUACCCUGGUAGUCCACGCCGUAAACGAUGAGUGCUAAGUGUUAGAGGGUUUCCGCCCUUUAGUGCUGCAGCAAACGCAUUAAGCACUCCGCCUGGGGAGUACGGUCGCAAGACUGAACUCAAAGGAAUUGACGGGGGCCCGCACAAGCGGUGAGCAUGUGUUUAAUCGAAGCAACGCGAAGAACUUACAGGUCUGACAUCCUCUGACACCCUAGAGAUAGGGCUUCCUUCGGGGCAGAGUGACAGGUGGUGCAUGAU
rnacentral:rRNA from 2 species